GACGAACGCUGGCGGCGUGCUUAACACAUGCAAGUCGAGCGGUAAGGCCCUUUCGGGGGUACACGAGCGGCGAACGGGUGAGUAACACGUGGGUGACCUGCCCUCAGCUCUGGGACUAAGCCUGGGAAACCGGGUCUAAUACUGGAUAUGACUCCAUGACGCAUGUUGUGGGGUGGAAAGCCUUGUGCGGCUGAGGAUGGGCCCGCGGCCUAUCAGCUUGUUGGUGGGGUGAUGGCCUUACCAAGGCGACGACGGGUAGCCGGCCUGAGAGGGCGACCGGCCACACUGGGACUGAGACACGGCCCAGACUCCUACGGGAGGCAGCAGUGGGGAAUCUU
rnacentral:rRNA from 1 species